rnacentral:lncRNA from 1 species
GGGUCAGAUCCUUCACAAAUCAUUAAACACUAUCUCCUUAUUGCUGUCCUUGUGACGGUGAGUUCUUUUCAUGAUUUUAGAACUGUAAGAUUAAAUGGAUACUGGCCUCCUGGGUUUUGGACUUGCAUUGGGCCUGUGGUCCCAUUUGUGUUAUUUUCCUGGGAAAUUUCUGCCCUUUGGAUUGAAAAAGCUUACCCAAUGCCUGUACCAUUAUUGUACCUUGAAAGAAAGAACAUCCUUUUAAAUUCAGGGACUCAUAGGCAAAAGGUACUGUAGACUUGUCUCAGAUGAGAUGUUGAAUUUUUUACAUUUGAGUUAUUGUUGGAAUGAGUUAAGACUUUUGGAAAAUUUUGAAAAGACAUGAAUAUAUUUUGCUCUGUGAGAAGGACAAGAGACUGCAGGGUAUCAGGUCAGAAUAAUAUGAUUUGGCUGUGUUUCUUUACCAAAACUCAUGUGAAUUGUAAUCCUUAAUGUUGGAGGUGGGACCUGGCUGGAGGUGAUUUAAUCAUGGAUGGGAGGGGGACCGGGGAUGGAAGGAAAGGGGUGGGUAGGGUGAGGAGUAGGUUGUUAGUAGGGUGGUGGGUACUAGGAGGGGGGAGUAACCUGCUUCAGAAGCAGAGGCUCAUGGAAAGUCUCUACUAGGGCAGGGCACCUGUGGCUUUGCAGGGUGUAGCCCCCAUGGCUGCUGUCAUGGGCUGGGCUCGUGUGGAGUGCCUGUAGCUUUUCUGCUCUGAGAGUGCAAGCUGUUGGUGGGUCUAUGAAUCUGCAGUCUGGAGGAUGGUGGCCUCCUGUAUGUGGGCUCCAAGCCUACAUUUUCCUUCUGCACUGCCCUGGCAGAGGCUCAUGGAAAACCUCUACUAGGGCAGUGCACCUGUGGCUUUGCAGGCUUUAGCCCCAUGGCUGCUCUCAUGGGCUGGGCUGGUGUUGAGUGCCUGUAGCUUUUCCAUACUGAGGGUGUGAGCUGUUGGUGGGCCUAUGAAUCCGGGAUCUGGAGGAUGGUGGCCUCCUUUUUGGGGGCUCCAAGCCCAUAUUUUCCUUCUGCACUGCCAUAGUGGAAGUUUCUCAAGAGGCUUGGCCUCUGCAGGAGGCUUCUGCCUGGAAACAGUGGGCGGUGGUGUGGGUGCAGGAUCUUCUUGAUGCUGAUCUCCUGAUAGUGAGACCUCAUGUGAUCUGGUUGUCUAACAGGGUGUGGUACCUCUUUCCUCUCUCUGUCUUGCUCCUACCCCUGCCAUAUGAAACAUCUCAUUGCCACUUGGCCUUCUGGUAUGAUUAGGAAGGGCCUGGUCAGUGUGGGCCUGGUCAGUGAACUAGUCAGUUGGGACUUGGUCAGUGAGGCCUAUUUACUGGGGGAAUGGUCAGCCAGGGUCUGCUUAGAGAGGGUCUCAUUAGAGGGAUCGAGUAGUGCAGGUCUUGGUGAGUGGGGACCUAGUGGCAGACAAAUGUUUGGUGUCUGGUCAGUGCAAACCUGGGCUGCAGGGCUUGGUGAGUGGAGACCUGGUCAGCUGUGGCUUAGUGGUAGCCUUGUCAGAAUGGGCUGGGUCACUGGUGACCCGGUCAAGGGGUGCUAUUCAGUGGAGGCCUGGUCACAUGGCACCUAGUCAGCAGGGCAUGUCCUCAUCAGUGAGACCCUUGUCAGUGGGACCCUGGUCAUGGCAGCCUGGUCAGGUCAGUGGAACCUAAUCAGUGGGGGCCUGGUCAGAGAGGACUUGAUCAGUGGUGGCUUUUGUAGCACUGGUCUAUGGGGUGACCUGGUCAACGGGGGUCUGAGCGGUACAUGCCUGUUCAGUGGUGCCUAGUCACUAGGUUCCUGGUCGGGGCAUCUGGUCACCUCAGGCCUGGUUAGUAGGGACCUGGUCACUGGCAGCCUGUUCCCUGGAGACCUGGUCAGUGGGGCUUCAUCUGUGGGGCCAGGCAAUGGGGUCAUGAUUGGUGGAAUGUGGUCAGGGAGGUCUUGUCAGUGAGGCCCUGGUCAGUGAGGCCUUGUCAGUGAGGUCCUUGUCAGUGGGGUCCUGGACACUGUGGGCCUGGCAGCGGGAAUCUAGUUAGUGGGGCCUGGUGAUGGGGGCCUAAUCAGUGAGAGUGUGGUCAGGGAGGACCUGAUGUGCGGGAUCUGGUCAGCAGGGACCUGGUCAGUGGGGCUGCUGAGCACUGCUGGGAGGUGUCAGGGGAAAUGCAUGUUAUCAGGGGCCCUAUGGACAGCUGGGAUGGCCCAGUGGUGUCCAAUGGCCCAGUCAAAAGUGGACAAAGCAGGUGUUUGGAUGGACCUGGGAGAUCUUGCUCAGAGAUUCUGAAAGAACAAAGGUAAAGGAAGGGCCAGAGUGGCUAGAGAGAUGGUAACAGUCUAUGGGCUGCACAGGAUGGAGGAAGCCAGGGAACAGGCAGGGUGGGCAGUAGGGGUGCA